ensembl:lncRNA
CGGUCGUCCCGGAGCCCCUCCCUCCCCCGGCCGACGGCGUCGCCUCUCCCGGAGCCUCCUCGCCUCCGGACGAGUCGCUGUGCUGGUUCAUCUCGCUUGGCUGAGGCUCCGCCUACACAGGAAGUGAGUCAGCGGCGUUUUUUUUCAGAGCCGCGGCGGGUUUCACCCGAGUCUCCGUACUCACAGUCAGAGGCGUUAGCUGCGCGGCGCUCCUCGCCUGCUCCGCCAGCCUCUUCAUCUCCGAGGCGUAGGCCGCCAUCUCCCGCUCCACCCGCAGGUGGCGCUGCAGCAACGCCGCCGUGCUCGCCUCGUCCUUCCCGUGAUCCUCGCUGGUCAGCAGCGGCUUCCUGUCGCCCAGCCAGGAGUCGGCCUCCGCCACAUCGGCAAAGUACUGGUGGAGGAAAGGAGUUAGCGGCGUGAGGCUCCCGAUGAAAGACCUCGCCGUGACCCGAUACGAUGUUCAGCUCAUUCAGCUAGCGGGGGAACUAUCGACAAAGAAAGUCCACAUCAAAAAGGACCCAAUUUAACUUCUACAAGUACACGCCCACUUCCAAACACAGCAGAGACACUACAGCACACACACACACACACACACACACACCUGUUUGAUGGCGGCGGCGGCCUGCAGUCGGUCGCGGCGUCCCGUCGCCUCGUGGCCCAGGAGGCUCCACUGCUUCUCCAGGGUGUGGGUCCACCUCUGGACGAGGUGCCGGUUGGGCUGGCUCUGGUCCGCCAGCAGGUCCCGCCCGCGGCCCAGAAGCCCCCGGUGCAGAGUCUCCUGGGCCUGAAGCUCCGCCUCCAGCAGCUGACGGGAGGCAUUGGGAGGCGUUUACCAGGUGCACAAAGGACCCGACGAAAUGACCAAAAUCCUUCUAACGUUCAUUUGUGGUAAAUAAACCACGAGAGUGUGUGUGUGUCUGUGUCCCACCUUGUGUGUGUGUGUGUGUGUGUGGUGUGUGUCCCACCUUGUGCUUGUGUGCGUGUCCCACCUUGUGUGUGUGUGUGUGGUGUGUGUCCCACCUUGUGCUUGUGUGCGUGUCCCACCUUGUGUGUGUGUGCGUGUGUGCGUGUCCCACCUUGUGCUUGUGUUGGCUCAGCUGGAUGUGGUUCAGGUCUCGUCCGAGUCCGGCGGUCUGAAUCCUCAGCCGGCGCUCGUAGCACCAGAACUCUGCCUCCUCACAGUCAGAGAAGAAGUCAAAGAGCCUCCGCUGGGCCUCCAGCUGAAGCCUCCUGGGGGGAGGAAACGAGAGGAGGAGAUUAGAGGAGCAGAUGAGUAGUAUUCAUAUCUGUUGUUCAGUAAACAGUUAUUGAUUAUUGUCUAGAGAAGAAUGAUCAGAAGUGAACCUGCUGCUGCUGAGAGAAACCAGAGAUCUGUACUGAGAGUCCAGAUCUGCCACUCUGCACUGAAUCUGAAGACCUCCGAUCACCUUCACCUGAGAGAAGGACACACAAUGUCAGCUCCAACUCCUACGUGCCAGCUGAGAUAUCAGGUACAUCAACACGAUCAAUAACCUUCAUUGACUUGCUGCUGAUGGUGCUGAUGGUUUCUCCGUGAGCUGAGAUCUGAGCUUCCAGGAGAUCUUGUUUCUGAAGGAGAGACUCGACCUCCGCCAGCUGCUUGCCCACCUCAGAGGAACUGGCCUGGGACUGAGGGGAGGAGGGGGGGUGGGGGGGGGUCUCUUACCAAGCAGCAUCCCAUAAUAAUCACCAAAACUAUGUCUAAAUCUUUAACAAGUGUGAACUCACUUGUAGCUCUUUCACUUCCUGGGAGACGAGCUCGAUGUCUCGGAGCACGCUGAGGUUUUCAACUACAUUUCCCAGCAGCCCCCUCUGCUCUUGGAGCUGCUGCAGGAGGUCCUUCCAUCGAUGGCUGAUGUUCUCCUCUCUUACAGACAUAUAGAUAUACAAAUGUGUCACACAAAUGUGGCACACAUAUAUAUAUAUAUA